rnacentral:rRNA from 1 species
GACGACCGCUGGCGGCGUGCUUAACACAUGCAAGUCGAACGGAAAGGCCCUGCUUUUUUGGGGUGCUCUAGUGGCGCACGGGUGUGUAACACGUGAGUAACCUGCCCUUGACUUUGGGAUAACUUCAGGACACUGGGGCUAAUACCGGAUAGGAGCUCCUGCUGCAUGGUGGGGGUUGGAAAGUUUCGGCGGUUGGGGAUGGACUCGCGGCUUAUCAGCUUGGUGGUGGGGUAGUGGCUUACCAAAGCUUUGACGGGUAGCCGGCCUGAGAGGGUGACCGGCCCCAUCGAGAAGGAGAUAGGGCCCAGACUCCGAAGGGAGGAAUGAGUGGGGAAGAUAGCACAAGGGGACGAGUCCUACUGCAGCAACGCAGGGUGUGGUAGGAAGGCGUGGGGGUAGUGAGCCGGGUUCGGCUGUGACGAAGCGUGUGUGACGGUAAUGGGUGAAUAAGGACCGGCUAGCUACGUG